ACCUACGGGGGGCAGCAGUGGGGAAUAUUGCACAAUGGGGGAAACCCUGAUGCAGCGACGCCGCGUGAGUGAAGAAGUAUCUCGGUACGUAAAGCUCUAUCAGCAGGGAAGAAAAAAAGUCUUUGGCUUUGGACGGUACCUGACUAAGAAGCCCCGGCUAACUACGUGCCAGCAGCCGCGGUAAUACGUAGGGGGCAAGCGUUAUCCGGAUUUACUGGGUGUAAAGGGAGCGUAGACGGCCAGACAAGUCAGAAGUGAAAGCCCAGGGCUCAACUCUGGGACUGCUUUUGAAACUGCCGGGCUGG
rnacentral:rRNA from 1 species